ACUCCGACCCCGCACCGUCCCCACAGGAUGCAAACAGGCAGCCUCGCCCAGGCUGGACGCAGACAGGCGGCCUCUGGCUGCUCGGCAGCGGGUCUGCGUGACCCUCGCUGGCCCCCUUGGCGCCCCUGGAGCCCCGUUCCCGGUGCAGAGCCUCACGGGUGGGAGGGUGCGGUCAGCAAGGUUCUCAGGCGGGCUGGCCGGUCUCCAGGGGCCGGGCUCUGCCUCAUCGCACUCGGCUCCCAGCGUGGCAGGUCUCCAGGCUGCGGGUGACCCCGAGGGGGCGUGAGGAGGCCCCUCCCCCGGGUCAGCGCGGACAGCCGCUCCGAGGGGCCGGCUGCGGCCGGGACGCGGAGGACGGGGCAGGUGCACGGGGCCGCCAGAGGCCCGCCCCGCCGUUACUCACACACGGUUGCCACGGAGUUGACUGACCCUCCAGGAAAGAGGUGAAGCAGACACCCAGGGGUGGACCAGCCCAGAGCCGGGGCAUCAGCCUCAGGACGAGAGCAGGGUUUUACUUGGAAGAGGGGGGUUCCCGGUGUUGCUUGAAGCCGGCCUCUCUAGAGCUCUACCCACUAUGGCAGCUGAUUACCCUCCGGACGUGAAAACACAUAAAGAAGAAAUGCCAAGAUGCACUAGACACAGCCCCUGACAUCUGUAGCUCAGGCCGGCUGGAGAUCCCUUCACCUCUCAGCUUCCCUCCAUCUGCCCAGCUUCUGCCGCUUCCUCCCAAUGUCCACCUGCCAUUUCUCUCUCCCUCCCCCACGCUGGUCCAUUCUGCUCCCUGUCCGGACCACAAGUCAGGACGUCCGCGGUGGAAGUCCGGCAAGACCAGGAAGAAGGCAGCACCCAGGGGCUGGGUGGCAGGCACAAGGGGCCACGUCUGCCUGGCAACCCUGAAUCGGGGAGCAGGGGAAGCAGGAGAGCUGCAGGAAC